rnacentral:rRNA from 1 species
UGGGGAAUAUUGCACAAUGGACGGAAGUCUGAUGCAGCAACGCCGCGUGCGGGAUGACGGCCUUCGGGUUGUAAACCGCUUUUUCUCAUGACGAAGUUUUUUGACGGUAGUGGGGGAAGAAGCACCGGCUAACUACGUGCCAGCAGCCGCGGUGAUACGUAGGGUGCGAGCGUUGUCCGGAAUUAUUGGGCGUAAAGAGCUUGUAGGCGGUUUGUCGCGUCGAUAGUGCAAACUCAGUGCUUAACGCUGAGCCUGCUGUUGAUACGGGCAGACUAGAGGAAGGUAGGCGAGAAUGGAAUUCCCGGUGGAGCGGUGGAAUGCGCAGAUAUCGGGAGGAACACCGGUGGCGAAGGCGGUUCUCUGGGCCUUUCCUGACGCUGAGAAGCGAAAGCGUGGGGAGCGAACAGG